UUGCUGUGGCCAAGUCACCAUGUGCCUUGCCCUCUACCAUCCAGCGUCCAAAUCAAUCGUGCGGCCAGCAGCGACUCACAGCCAAAUGAGGCAGAACAUCGGUCAGCCGGCACAUCUCAGAGAACAGGGAACAAAGCAGGGGCGGCGGGGGCGACGGCAGGGGCGGCCAGAGAUCUGCAGGGGCGGCGGGAGAGCGUCGGUCGAUACGCCAGCCCGCCCAGUUUUCCCGUGCAGCGC
rnacentral:lncRNA from 1 species